rnacentral:sRNA from 17 species
GCCGCGCCACGAUUGCGCAAUCGAAAACCGGGUUCCCUUGCCCGGCCUGGCGCGGCUCUUCCCACAAGG